UACGUAGGUGGCGAGCGUUGUCCGGAAUUAUUGGGCGUAAAGGGAGCGCAGGUGGGAAAGUAAGUCUGUCUUAAAAGUGCGGGGCUCAACCCCGUGAGGGGGCGGAAACUAUUUUUCUUGAGUGCAGGAGAGGAAAGCGGAAUUCCUAGUGUAGCGGUGAAAUGCGUAGAUAUUAGGAGGAACACCAGUGGCGAAGGCGGCUUUCUGGACUGUAACUGACACUGAGGCUCGAAAGCCAGGGGAGCGAACGGG
rnacentral:rRNA from 1 species